rnacentral:rRNA from 1 species
CUGCGAAUGGCUCAUUAUAUAAGUUAUCGUUUAUUUGAUAGUACCUUACUACUUGGAUAACCGUGGUAAUUCUAGAGCUAAUACAUGCUGAAAAUCCCGACUUCGGAAGGGAUGUAUUUAUUAGAUUAAAAACCAAUGCCCUCUGGGCUCCUUGGUGAUUCAUAAUAACUUUUCGAAUCGCACGGCCUUGCGCCGGCGAUGGUUCAUUCAAAUUUCUUCCCUAUCAACUUUCGAUGUUUGGGUAUUGGCCAAACAUGGUUACAACGGGUAACGGAGGGUUAGGGCUCGACCCCGGAGAAGGAGCCUGAGAAACGGCUACUACAUCCAAGGAAGGCAGCAGGCGCGCAAAUUACCCAAUCCCGAUUCGGGGAGGUAUUGACAAUAAAUACUGAUACAGGGCUCUUUUGGGUCUUGUAAUUGGAAUGAGUACAAUUUAAAUCUCUUAACGAGGAACAAUUGGAGGGCAAGUCUGGUGCCAGCAGCCGCGGUAAUUCCAGCUCCAAUAGCGUAUAUUAAAGUUGUUGUGGUUAAAAAGCUCGUAGUUGAACCUUGGGCCUGGCUGGCCGGUCCGCCUCACCGCGUGUACUGGUCCGGCCGGGUCUUUCCCUCUGUGGAACCUCAUGCCCUUCACUGGGUGUGGCGGGGAAACAGGACUUUUACUUUGAAAAAAUUAGAGUGCUCCAGGCAGGCCUAUGCUCGAAUACAUUAGCAUGGAAUAAUAAAAUAGGACGUGUGGUUCUAUUUUGUUGGUUUCUAGGACCGCCGUAAUGAUUAAUAGGGACAGUCGGGGGCAUCAGUAUUCAAUUGUCAGAGGUGAAAUUCUUGGAUUUAUUGAAGACUAACUACUGCGAAAGCAUUUGCCAAGGAUGUUUUCAUUAAUCAGGAACGAAAGUUAGGGGAUCGAAGACGAUCAGAUACCGUCGUAGUCUUAACCAUAAACUAUGCCGACUAGGGAUCGGACGAUGUUAUUUUUUGACGCGUUCGGCACCUUACGAGAAAUCAAAGUGCUU